ACACAGGAAUGAGAUUCCGCCUGCUGGAAUGGGUCUCCCAUGUAAAUGGAGCAAGGUGUGAUCAAAGACAAUGAAAACCACAUUUGCAUGCCAGUAACUUGUUUCAACUGUGAUCAUAUACCACCAGAAAGCUGACUGCAAGUGCAAUGCUCAAUCAGGGAAGAGAAACAUACUUUUGAUCUCCUAGAGCAGCCAUCGAACAGGCAGCACAGCUUCCAAUACCACCAUGGGCAGCAGUGACAAACACCGUGAGUGAGCUCAGACCUGGAGCCUGCAGGAGGACGCAAAGGUCCACACACAGCCUCCAGAACCAGAACCAGAAGAGCCACGUUAAAGAAACGUCACAUGCAGAAAGCAAGUAACUGAGGCCAAGCUCUUUCAAGGUAUUUAGGCUCAUAACUUCCACAGGAAUCAAUAAGAGGUGGAGCACAAGAGUUGAUGCUGUUCGCCCCCUAAUCAAAAAUCACACAGGCAUGCUGGAAAGUUUAAUUAAAAUUGAAGAGGAGCUUCAUUUACCUCCUGAAAUCCAGGCAGAUGUUGACUGAUUGAUUAAGUGGCUUAAGUCAUUUGAAUUUGUACUUCUUACUACAAUAUGGUUUAAAGUACUUCAGUGUAUUGAUAAGAACAAGGUCCUAUAAAGCUCCAAAUUAACAAUGGAAGAGGAAGCUAAACACGUGAGCAACUUAGUCAAGAAAAUUCAAACAUUGAAAGAUUCUUGGCCAAUUUUUUUUGAAGAAGCCAAACAAGUCACUUCAAGCCUUGGCAGUGACCCAAAAAUGAAAAGUGACUCAAGGAUCCGGAAGAACAAGCGAUUCUUUGACGACACAGGGGAUGCAGACUAUACGUUUGACUCUUCCCCAUAUUCGGUUCAAAGUACAGGUGUUCUUCUCGACAAUAGAUUUGCUUCUAUCAGAGCUAGGAGGUCUUUGUGAAAGAAUGGCUGAAGCCUCAAAUUUAUUUUCACCCAUUUUGUGUCCGCCAGAUAAAAUGGAUGAAUCUUCUAUAGAAAAUUUUGUUGACACUUUGGCCACAGCAUAUCCAAAAGACCUCCAGAGAGAAGAUCUUAAAGAGGAACUUAGAAUCUUUUACAAAAUAAAACAAGAUUCCAACUUAAGAGUUGAUGGGUUAUAACCUCUGCACUUACAAAUCUGUAGAAACACAUUUUCCAACCCUUUUUUGAAGAAAGCAUUAAGAAGUGUAUUUGUUUACGCCUACGAACAGUGUUGCCAGUGUCGGCAGCAUCGGGAGAGCGUGCAUUUAGUAAGCUAACACUGAUUAAAAGUUGUUUGUGUUCAGCCACCGGGGAAGAAAGGCUGAACCAUUUGCUCACUUUGAGCAUAGAAUAUGAAAUGGCCAAAGACAUAAGUUUUGAUGACAUUAUUAAUGAGUUCGCCAAAAUGAAAGCAAGGGAAAAAAUUGCAGCUGUAUAA